UUUUUUGGUUGGGGAUGGACUCGCGGCCUAUCAGCUUGUUGGUGAGGUAAUGGCUCACCAAGGCGACGACGGGUAGCCGGCCUGAGAGGGUGACCGGCCACACUGGGACUGAGACACGGCCCAGACUCCUACGGGAGGCAGCAGUGGGGAAUAUUGCACAAUGGGCGAAAGCCUGAUGCAGCAACGCCGCGUGAGGGAUGACGGCCUUCGGGUUGUAAACCUCUUUUAGUAGGGAAGAAGCGAAAGUGACGGUACCUGCAGAAAAAGCACCGGCUAACUACGUGCCAGCAGCCGCGGUAAUACGUAGGGUGCAAGCGUUGUCCGGAAUUAUUGGGCGUAAAGAGCUCGUAGGCGGUUUGUCGCGUCUGCUGUGAAAUCCCGAGGCUCAACCUCGGGCUUGCAGUGGGUACGGGCAGACUAGAGUGCGGUAGGGGAGAUUGGAAUUCCUGGUGUAGCGGUGGAAUGCGCAGAUAUCAGGAGGAACACCGAUGGCGAAGGCAGAUCUCUGGGCCGUAACUGACGCUGAGGAGCGAAAGCAUGGGGAGCGAACAGGAUUAGAUACCCUGGUAGUCCAUGCCGUAAACGUUGGGCGCUAGAUGUAG
rnacentral:rRNA from 1 species